UACGUAGGGGGCAAGCGUUGUCCGGAAUCAUUGGGCGUAAAGAGCGCGUAGGCGGCCCGAUAAGUCCGCUGUGAAAGUCAAGGGCUCAACCCUUGAAUGCCGGUGGAUACUGUCGGGCUAGAGUCCGGAAGAGGCGAGUGGAAUUCCCGGUGUAGCGGUGAAAUGCGCAGAUAUCGGGAGGAACACCAAUGGCGAAGGCAGCUCGCUGGGACGUUACUGACGCUGAGACGCGAAAGCGUGGGGAGCAAACAGG
rnacentral:rRNA from 1 species